UCAUCGGCUGCCUUCGCACGCUUUCACUCGUUGAAAGAACAUACGACGUGCGCGGCAACGUAUUAUUGGACGUUAUCCGGAACGUCACUGCGACGCAGACGGCGACGGCGAUGGUGAAAAGGGCGGCGAUGUGCCUUCACUGCUGAAUGUUCGGCGUCCGGGUGAGCGUGACCAAGGAGUCCGGCGACCGCUCGCGACUGACCGAUGACGCAGGACCCGCUCCGAUGCAACAAGAACGACCCGGCCGUCGAGGAGGAAUUUCACCGGUGAACGUGGUUGACGUUACGCCGGCGUUCUGAGGCAACGGCAGGCGACCAGCAACGUACCGGCCUACGGCUAUCGGCGGAGCACCACUAGCGCCGACGUGCACGCGGCGGCGGACUAUUACCGCUGCGGGGCCAGGAGCGGCGCCGAGGAACUAGGGACAUUCUUCGUGGGCGGGCAGGUUUCGCGGACGCCGCCCCGAGGAGGACGCCACCGAAGACCGCUGAGAUUACAUCGCAAUUAUCCGUCGG
rnacentral:lncRNA from 1 species